AUUCAAAACAAAAACCCAUGAUGGGGUGCAAAACAAAACAGGAACUAAGAACACGGAAACAAAACAAAAAACUAGAACAAAACACUUCCCUCGAUGGGGCAAGAAAAAACCACGAACAGCAAAACUAAACUAAAAACACGACCAAAGGUCUCACAAACAAAACACGGCAGGGUAAACCAGAAACUCAGUCCACGGACAAGGCAUGGGACAGGAACAUGGGACCAUUAUCAACACGGGCAUACUGUAUACACGCUCGACAAGCACCUACAGGUCCAAUGCUGUUUAGGAUUAUGCAAAAAUGUCUGCACAGCCAGAAUGAAGCGGGUGAAAAUAAAGCUGAUAAAAAUGGUUUUACUGCUACUCUUUCCCAUCCCUGCUGAAAAAAGCCUAAAGUAAUUCAGAUUGAUGUCAUAAUGCUGAGCAAAUGGAGGAGCGGCUUCAUGUGGAAGACUGUUGGACUUUGCAGAGCCAGAGAUUUUUUUAUAAUACAUCCACCCCUCUCCGUCUCUCGUUCUUUUACACUCGUCUCAGUGGAAAGUCCCCUGAAAGAUUUUAGAGAAAUCCCUCGAGUACACCAGCGCACACACACAAGCGGCAGUCGAUGGAGGUCAUGGGUUACAAUACAGUAGAUGCAGUUCUGACAGUUCUUGUGUACAUGUGUGCGCAAGUACAUAAGGACAGAGACCAGUGAAAAAUGGUCCCCAUGAGUUACUCCCUGGAGACUUAUUACCUUGUUGUGUGCUGUGACGAAGAGAGGUUGAAGUGGGCUUUAGUGAAAAGUUAUGGGCCUCUAUGUUUCACAACAACAUUAGGGUCUUAAAAGAAUAGUUACUCACCCUUAUGGUCAAACCCCUAUGAUGGAACACAGAAUGAGAAUAUUGAAUAUUCACAUCUCACUACUAGUCCUGCUUGACCUUAGUGCUGCGUUCGAUACUGUAGAUCAUAACAUACUUUCAGAUCGCUUACACAAUUAUACCGGUAUUCAGGGACAGGCACUACAAUGGUUCAGAUCUUAUCAGACAGAUAUCAAUUUGUCGAUUUAAAUGGGGACUCGUCAAAUCUAACGCAAGUAAAUUAUGGAUUACCUCAUGGAUCAGUUUUAGGACCCUUGCUAUUCUCCAUAUACAUGCUGCCCCUUGGCAACAUUAUUAGAAAACAUGGAAUUAGCUUCCAUUGUUAUGCAGAUGAUACUCAGAACAAAGACAUGUGAGCAGAAUAUUUCGGAUUAUAACCUGCAAAUUGAAGGCUGCACUGUUACUCCAACAAAUACUGUUAAAGACCUAGCCGUUAUAUUAGACCGCAACCUGUCAUUUGGAAAUCACAUCUGUUGCCAAAUUAUGAAAUAUUCUAUGUGUUGCUGACGCAGAAAAGCUUAUUCAUGCAUUUCUGACCUCAAGACUUGACUACUGUAAUGCACUACUUCGUGGUUGUCCUGCAUCAUCAAUAAACAAACUACAGUUAGUUCAAAAUGCAGCUGCCAGAGUUCUAACCAGGUCCAGAAAAUACAAUCACAUAACCCCAGUUUUAUUAUCCCUUCACUGGUUACCCAUUAAGUAUCGUAUUGACUUUAAAGUUCUUUUAAUUACUUAUUAAGCCCUAAACGGUUUAGCCCAUACCUACAUAAAAGAGCUUCUAUCUUAUUACAAGCAUCACGUUCUCUAAGAUCUCAAAACUCUGGACUUUUGAUAACACCUAGAAUAACUAAAUCUACCAAAGGGGGUGGAGCUUUCUCAUACGUCGCACCUAAACUCUGGAAUAGCCUUCCAGAUACUAUUCGAAGGUCAGACACACUCCCAAUUUAAAUCUAGAUUAAAGACAUCUUUUCAGCCAAGCAUUCACUUAAUGCAUAAUAUGCUUAAUUAAUUAAUGAACAGCAGCUACGCUAAUUAUUCUCUUUUGCCCUCCUCCCCUAUAGAGAGAUUACACCAGGACCAGAUGAACGUCAUAUGCCCAUCCCUAACUAGAGAUUAUGCCAGCUCCAUCUGAACAUCCCGUGCUAUCCUCCUGCAAGAGCCUGCGGACUGACUGACCAUCCCAGCUCCAUCUCAGGCAAUUCCAUCACCACCCAAGAGCAAAGUGACCAUCUGACCAUCCCAGCCCCAUCACAAACAAUUUAAUCACCACCCAAGAGCAAAGUGACCAUGUGACCAUCCCAGCUCAGGCAAUUCCAUCCCCAGCCAAGAGUGUCAUGGUUCUGCCCCACCUUGUCUUGCUUCUCUUGACCUAGUGGCAGAACCAUGAUAGAACCUCUUGUUUUAUGUGGAGAGAGUCAGUUUUGGUAUUCCAUAUACUCCCUCUCUCCGGUGUGGCGUCUCUGUUCCCGCCCUUUCGUCUCGUUAUUGUUUGUUAAUUAGUUCAUAUCCUGCACCUGUCCCCUCUUGAUUUAUCCCGUUUAUAAUGCCCUUGUGUCUUCUGUCUGGUGCUGGUUCAUUGUACUGUGUCGUGUUCGUGUAAUGUGGUGAGUUCAUGUCUUUGAGUUAGUUUAGUUUAUUUUGUAGUUGUGAUGUGUUUCAGUCUAGUCCUGUUAGUUUAGUUAGUCUUGUUCCUGUUUCCAUGUUUGUUACUUUACCCCCACGUGGGUCUUUGUUUUGUUGCUUUUUAUUUAUUAAAGUUUGUGUUAACCCCUUACCCGCUGUCUGCACCUGGGUCCUCUGUCUCCGUGUCUCUCACCACCCACCAUUCGUGACAGAAUGAACCAGCACGAGACAGAAGACACAAGGGCAUUAUAAAGGGGAUACAUCAAUAACUGUGGUCAAGAUUUGAUUUAAAAGAACUUUAAACUCAAUCAAAAUGUUAGGAGGUAGUGUUGAAAUGUAUUUAAUUUUUUUAAAUGCAUGUUAUAAUACGAAAUUAGUUGUGCAACGUUGUGUGUGCCACCAGUAUAAAUGCAAAUGUGCAUUUAAAUAAA